GAGCGCAACCCUCGCCUCUAGUUGCCAGCAUCGGUUGGGCACUCUAGAGGGACUGCCGGCGACAAGUCGGAGGAAGGUGGGGAUGACGUCAAAUCAUCAUGCCCCUUAUGACCUGGGCUACACACGUGCUACAAUGGGCGGUACAAAGGGCUGCGAACCCGCGAGGGGGAGCGAAUCCCAAAAAGCCGCUCUCAGUUCGGAUUGCAGGCUGCAACUCGCCUGCAUGAAGCCGGAAUCGCUAGUAAUCGCGGAUCAGCAUGCCGCGGUGAAUACGUUCCCGGGCCUU
rnacentral:rRNA from 1 species